rnacentral:tRNA from 1 species
GGAGAAUUAGCUCAGCUGGGAGAGCAUCUGCCUCAGCUGGGAGAGCAUCUGCCUUACAAGCAGAGGGUCGGCGGUUCGAACCCGUCAUUCUCCACCA